UACGUAGGGGGUAAGCGUUGUCCGGAAUUAUUGGGCGUAAAGCGCGUGUAGGCGGCUUUGCAAGUCGGGUGUGAAAGCCCUCGGCUCAACCGAGGAAGUGCGCCCGAAACUGCAGAGCUUGAGUACCGGAGAGGGUGGCGGAAUUCCCCAAGUAGAGGUGAAAUUCGUAGAUAUGGGGAGGAACACCGGUGGCGAAGGCGGCCACCUGGACGGAUACUGACGCUGAGACGCGAAAGCGUGGGUAGCAAACAGG
rnacentral:rRNA from 1 species